rnacentral:tRNA from 3 species
GGAUGUCGCAACACUCGGACUCUUAAUCCGUAGGUCGAGUGUUCGAGUCACUCACGCCCCACCA